GCUGCCUUAAACACAAACGGACUUAAAAUCCGUUGGUGGGCGACCACCGUGCGGGUUCGAGUCCCGCUGUCGGCA
rnacentral:tRNA from 1 species